UGUAUCUCCUGAGGAGACUCAGGUCCUACGCUGUAGUGUGCUGGGGCAGCAGGAUGAAGACGGCCGACACCAACAGACUCAACAAGCUCAUUAGGAAGGCUGGCUCGGUACUGGGUGUGGAGCUGGAGUCUGUGGUGGAGGUGACGGAGAGGAGGAUACUGAGGAAACUCUUCAGUAUUCGUAACAACACGUCUCACCCCCUGCAUGACACACUGCUGUCCUACAGAAGCACAUUCAGGAGGAGCAGCACAGAACGCCACAGGAGGUCCUUCCUGCCAGUGGCCAUCAGACUGUAUAAUCCUCCCCUUUCUGUAGGGAGAAGAGUUAGAUAAUCAUGUCAGGCAUCACUGUCAUUCCCUCCACUGGUCUAUAUUUAUGUUUACUUAGCACCUUAUCUCUCCAUAUUUGUAUCCAUGUAUCAUAUAUUGUGCUCAUACGGCGUAUGAUACCGGAAGCCCUGGAGACCCUGCAGGGAUGUUUUGAGGUGACUGACUGGGAUGUGUUCUGUGACACCCACGGUGAGGAUGUAGACACACUCACAGACUGUAUCACAGAAUAUGUUAAUUUUUGUACAGAUUCUCUAAUCCCCACCAGGCCAAUACGCUGCUUUCCAAACAAUAAACCAUGGGUGACAAAGGACAUCAAGGCAUCACUCAACAGAAAGAAGACAGCCUUCUUCAGUGGAGACAGAGAGGAGAUGAGGAGGGCCCAGGCAGAGGUGAAGGAGAAGAUUGGAGAGGGCAAGGAGAGCUACAGGAGGAAGCUGGAGAGCCAACUUCCCCGGAACAACUUGAGGGAGGUUUGGAGUGGCAUGAGAACCAUCACCGGCCACAAUAGGAUCUCUAACCAGCUGAUGGAUGGAGAUAUGCAGGAGGCCAACCAGCUGAACCUGUUCUUCAACAGGUUUGACAGGUUUGAUAGUCCACUCCCUGACCACCCUCCCCCUCCCUGUGAUGCACCAUUAACACCUGUCUAUAACAACAAUGUACCUCCUCCUCCUCCCCCUAACCAUACUAACCAGUCUCACCUCCCCAUCAAUAACAUCACCCUGCCCCCCUUACCCCACCUUCCAUUAACAACCCCCCAGCCUCCCUGCCCCCCUCCCCCAUCAGAUCUCUCUCUCUGCUCUUCUGUGUCCACAGUUACCAUCACCACAGAAGAUGUGAGGAGGGAGUUCAGUCGCCUACGACCGGGAAAAGCUGCAGGACCGGAUGGACUCAGCC
ensembl:lncRNA